UCCUUAAUUGAUGUUUCAAAGAAGAGAAAUCCAUGGUCAAUUUUCCUCUUGUGAAGCUCCCAAGAAAAGAAAUAGAAGAAUUUCCUAAAUCCUGAACCAAAGAAGCAUAAACUAGUGAGUGCAAAGGCAGAAAAAAAGCAGUAACAUUCUAGAGAUAAAAUGCAAAGCUUGAUUGCAAGAAGGAUGUCAACUAAGAAUGAAACUAUUCAGAGAAGGAAAGCAAAUAUGCAACAGGGAGUUGUGAGCCAUCCCUGGGAUACAUCCUGCAAACCACCAUCACUUUGCCAGUGGUCCAGCAGACCACAGUGAAAUGAUAUUGUACCUUUACUUUGGAGGGGAUUAUUUUUUUUCUCCUAGAACCAACAACCAAACACCUGAAAAGGGUGAGAAGUUCUGCUAGACUGAGGUUUCUCCUUUGGAAAGUCAAAAAAGAUCCCUACACAUUUUUUGGAAAUAAAAAGGGCUGUGA
rnacentral:lncRNA from 1 species